UUAUAUGGUGCCUCAUGUCAUUAGAACAAGGAUAUAUGAAUAAAAUCGUACUCUUAUUGUAUUGACGUACGUCUAUCCAUUGUGCUCUAUUAUUGGCCAAAUAGUAGUGACAAACUCAUAUAGUUUGUUGCUUACCCCUCAUUUCUUGGCACUAUUGCAUAUAUAUUGUUGCCCUUAUUGGGAAAAGCCUUCCUAGCAAUUUUUUUUAUGAUUUAUGAAUUAUUGGUGGAAGACUGAUACAUUUAGCUUCAACUAGUCGAGGAGAUGGAGGGUCGUUGUAUUAGGGAGUUAGUCAUUUUUCAUCGUUUUGAGCGCGAAAAAGUAACUUACUUAUGUAGUCAAUGACUAAAUCUCAAGGUGUGCUAGCUAAAGAUUAAGGUGCUACUUAGUAGCCCGAUGACCAAACCUUAUCAGCAAUUCGACUCACCUAAUCCUUCAACAAUUUUCAUUUGUUAUUAGUUUGCAGUUGCUCAUCUCAUAUACUGU
rnacentral:lncRNA from 1 species